rnacentral:lncRNA from 1 species
AUGCAUGACUGCAAAAUGUUUUUGAAGUUAUAAAGUUAUAGUCGCCUAACCUUCAAAACCAUAGAUGAUACAUUUAUCUCCAUGAGCGCUGAUGAGUUCCUCAAAUUGUGUUGCUGCCCUAGACCAUGAUCAAAUAUUAACUUGGAUUCCCAUGUCAUUUACACACAAAAGACUUAGAGUGAAAAAAAAAAUAAACCAAAAGUAUUAACUAAUUUAGUCCAAUACUCACUGUUGAAGUUUGAUUUCAAUGACCUUUCGUGGAUUUUCAGAACUCUUAUUCGUCUGGAGUAUUU